GAAUGCAGUGGUGUGAUCACAGCUCACUGUAGCCUUGACUUCCCAGGCUAAAGUUAUAAUCCUACCUCAGCCUCCAAAGUAGCCGGUAUCACAGGAUUCACUUGAAGAAGCCCACAGGGACGGGUGACACUGAGGAAACAAAACCCAGGCCCCCCGGCCUCCGACUGAGCCGUGCAGAGCAUGCUGGGAGAUCACCUCCACCUGAGGAGCACAAAAGACCCCAGGAGUGGAGGAAGCUGGCCUGAGGCCAACCGGAUGUAACAGACUUGCUGGGCCCAAGGAGGGAGGUCUGGUGAUGGAGCCUCGAGUACAUAUCCUUCCAAUCCUAAGGAAUUAAAUUAAGAGACAUGGGACUAAGGACAAAGAGUCUGUAAGGUCAUGCAUGGUUGGACCCAAUGUCUUCUGAUGGCUGAUAGCAUGCAGAAAAAGGAGCAAGUGUGUAAAGUAACCUGGUGGUCAAGGGAAGAGAAAUCAAAGUGUGAUAUAGCAGAGAUGAGCAAAC
rnacentral:lncRNA from 1 species